rnacentral:misc_RNA from 1 species
UCGAGUUAGGGUGCGCCUUUAAACCGCCGCCCAACCUCCCAACCCUGUGUCUAUUAUACCAAGUUGCUUCGGUGGGCCGGAAUCGACCAACUGGUCGAGUCCGCCGGCCCCGCGGCUGGAGAGCUGCCCACCGAUGGCCUUCUUAUACACUCUUGUACCGAAAUCUGUCGUCUAAUCUUGAUUGCAAAUCAAUCGAAAUA